rnacentral:rRNA from 1 species
GGAGUUUGGACCGUGUCUCAGUUCCAAUGUGGGGGGACCUUCCUCUCAGAACCCCUACUGAUCGGUGGCUCGGUGGGCCGUUACCCCGCCAACAACCUAAUCAGACGCAUCCCCAUCCUAUAGCGGUGAACCUUUGCUUCUCGUCAGAUGCCAUCAAAGAAGAACAUAGAGCAUUAAUUCGACUUUCGCCGGGCCUAUUCUCU